GGGGGAAUUUUGAUGUAUCACAAAAACCAGCAUCCAGUUGAUGUGACUCUUCUUCCAGGGUCCUGCCCACAAGAAAGAUUGUGACAUCUCACUGGACAAGCACCCACCCAGACUCUGCCAAGAGAGGGGAUUAUUACAUAUUGCAGAGCCCAGCACCUAGGUGGAGUGACUCUCAUCUUUUUCUUCUACCCCGUAUAUAGCCAGCUUGGUGACCUACUAUUUGAGUCUAUACCCAGGCCCAGACCACAGAUGAAAUUGUGCAAUAUGUGGAACAAACACCUAAACAAUAUAUAACACCUUCCUUGGCUCUGUCUACAAAGGGCACUUUUAUAUAUCACUGGGACCAUCAACCAGGUGAUGUUAAUUAUCUUCCUGAAACCUGUCUACAAAGAGAGUUGUGUCGUAUACCUAGGCCCGUCAUGUGAUGUUGUGCCAUAUAACUGAGACCGUAUCAAAAGCCUAAUAACAAGACGUAUGUCUGGAGCCCCGAUAUGCACAGGAUGGUGAUAUAACCCUCUUCUCUGGAAUGGGCCCCACACAAAGGAAGGAUAGUGACAUAUUGCAAGCCCAGGCACACAGGCCCAGAGCACAGUUGAAAUUGUGACAUAUGUACACCAAGCAACCAAGCAAUGUAUAACACCUCAUUUGGCAAUGGAAUCGAGGGCACUUUUACAUAUCACUGAGACCAGCGCCCAGCUGAUGUGAAAUAUUGGCCUGAACCCUGCCUACAAAAGCAUUGUGGCUUUUAUCUAGCUCCAUUACAUAAGUGAUGUGACUUCCUUCUACUGCCUUGGCCCUGCACUUAUGGUGAAUCGUGACACAAAAUUGGGUAGAGCAACCAGCCUGGGCCCUGACCAGCACAGAGAUUGAGGCAUAUUGCUGAACCCAGGACCAAGAUGAAGUCACUCUCCUGCCUUGAUCCUGCACACAGGGACCCUUGUGACAUAUAUACAGGCCAAUUGCCUAGGUAAAGUUUGUCUCCUCUCCUGCCUAAGCCCUGCCCAUGGGGAGGAUUUAGAUAUAUCACUGAAACCAGCA
rnacentral:lncRNA from 1 species